rnacentral:rRNA from 1 species
GAUGAACGCUGGCGGCGUGCCUAAUACAUGCAAGUCGAGCGAACGGACGAGAAGCUUGCUUCUCUGAUGUUAGCGGCGGACGGGUGAGUAACACGUGGAUAACCUACCUAUAAGACUGGGAUAACUUCGGGAAACCGGAACUAAUACCGGAUGAUAUUUUGAACCGCAUGGUUCAAAAGUGAAAGACGGUCUUGCAGUCACUUAUAGAUGGAUCCGCGCUGCAUUAGCUAGUUGGUAAGGUAACGGCUUACCAAGGCAACGAUGCAUAGCCGACCUGAGAGGGUGAUCGGCCACACUGGAACUGAGACACGGUCCAGACUCCUACGGGAGGCAGCAGUAGGGAAUCUUCCGCAAAGGGCGAAAGCCUGACGGAGCAACGCCGCGUGAGUGAUGAAGGUCUUCGGAUCGUAAAACUCUGUUAUUAGGGAAGAACAUAUGUGUAAGUAACUGUGCACAUCUUGACGGUACCUAAUCAGAAAGCCACGGCUAACUACGUG